rnacentral:pre_miRNA from 1 species
AGCUUUUCGAAUCCGUGUUGAGAUUUCGUCAGACACCAACCCAUUAGGGCUGAUCACAAUUGCAAGAUAAGAAAAGUU